AGCAGCCGCGGUAAUUCCAGCUCCAAUAGCGUAUAUUAAAGUUGUUGCAGUUAAAAAGCUCGUAGUUGAAUUUCGGGAUCAAUAUAACGGUCAUGCCGUUGGUAUGCACUGUUAUAAUUGAUUUCUCACCUUCUAAAGAACCGUAAUGCCAUUAACUUGGUGUCACGGGGAAUUAGGACUGUUACCUUGAAAAAUUAGAGUGUUUAAAGCAGGCUCACGCUUGAAUACAUUAGCAUGGAAUAAUGAAAUAGGACAUCCGAUUCUAUUUUGUUGGUUUCUAGGAUCGAUGUAAUGAUUAAUAGGGAUAGUUGGGGGCAUUAGUAUUCAAUUGUCAGAGGUGAAAUUCUUGGAUUUAUUGAAGACUAACUACUGCGAAAGCAUUUGCCAAGGAUGUUUUCAUUAAUC
rnacentral:rRNA from 1 species